rnacentral:rRNA from 1 species
AGUGGCGAACGGGUGAGUAGCGCAUCGGAACGUGCCCAGUAGUGGGGGAUAGCUCGGCGAAAGCCGGAUUAAUACCGCAUACGACCUACGGGUGAAAGCGGGGGACCGCAAGGCCUCGCGCUAUUGGAGCGGCCGAUGCCCGAUUAGCUAGUUGGUGAGGUAAAGGCUCACCAAGGCGACGAUCGGUAGCUGGUCUGAGAGGACGACCAGCCACACUGGGACUGAGACACGGCCCAGACUCCUACGGGAGGCAGCAGUGGGGAAUUUUGGACAAUGGGGGAAACCCUGAUCCAGCCAUGCCGCGUGCGGGAAGAAGGCCUUCGGGUUGUAAACCGCUUUUGGCAGGAACGAAACGGCGCGUGCUAAUACCGCGCGCUAAUGACGGUACCUGCAGAAUAAGCACCGGCUAACUACGUGCCAGCAGCCGCGGUAAUACGUAGGGUGCAAGCGUUAAUCGGAAUUACUGGGCGUAAAGCGUACGCAGGCGGCUGUGCAAGACAGGUGUGAAAUCCCCGGGCCCAACCUGGGAACUGCAUUUGUGACUGCAUAGCUAGAGUCCGUAAGAGGGGGGUGGAAUUCCACGUGUAGCAGUGAAAUGCGUAGAGAUGUGGAGGAACACCGAUGGCCAAAGCAGCCCCCUGGGAUGAGACUGACGCUCAUGUACGAAAGCGUGGGGAGCAAACACGAUUAGAUACCCUGG